UUUUUUUGAUAAUUUUGGUAUUUGGGCAGCCACAUUCCCAACUAUCCCCGAAAGGGGUUCAGCGUUCCAACGGAAGGGAUGUUAGAUCCGUUGUGGCCAAGACUCGAACCCGGGUGGAUCUACCUACCUAAUAACUUGUAUGAUGUUUGCAGUGUGCUAGAGGGUUUUCUUAAAAAAAAAUUGUUAGAAUUAUUUAUGUUUGAUUGAUAAAUAAUAGUGGUUGACUUAAUAGGUUAUUUGAUGUAGAAAACAAAUAGCAGAUUUCGUUUUUUUUGUAGGUGAUUCAAUGAUCAUAUACAUAAUAUCUAUGGAAAGUUGUUAACGUAAUUGCUAUAUCAAUUUGUUGGAACUAUUUUUGUUAUUUGAUUUUCUAAUCAUUAUCUCUACUUAAACAACAUUAAUUAGACAACAUAUCCUAAGUUAAUUGGGAUUAGUUUUUGAGACGACAAAGGAGGUCUCAUACUCUUAUGUCAGGUGAGUAUAGCAGAGCAUAUGCAUCGGGUUGAAGUUCUUCUCAAAAGUAUAAGAUUAGUUUGGUAGCGAAUACUUAUAGUGUUGACUUCGGGUUUAUAGCUAUGAAACAUAACACCAUGCACCAAAUGAAUAAGCGUUAUGUGUAGUGAAAAUUUUGAUUGUUCAGAUGUUUUUUUUUUUUGCCAACUUUUGGAAAGGUAGAUGUUCAUAUAGUAUAUUUGAUUGUAUUCAUUACAACUGAAUGUUCUUUUAUUAUAUUUCAGCUUAUGCACACAAAGUAAAAUAAAGACGGUUGAUUCAGUUUAAGACAAUACAUAUUUUAUACUCGUAUAAAAGAAAAGAAAAUACCUAAUGUUUAAACAAAAGAAAAUGACAACAAGAGCAGAAGAAAACCGUGGGUGUAGAACAAGCGCAAGAGGUAGAGCGUGUGGGAGUGAGUAGGUGAGGUGACUCCGUGACUGUCCACAUGAAGAAACACGUUGACUGCAUUGUGUUGGCGUGAAGUCUUCGGUUUUUGUUUUGGCCUCUCUCGAGAAACUUCUCUAUGUGCUAUCUUUAUCGUUUUGAGUCUCUUCUACGUCACGUUUGUCUCUUCUCCUCCUCAUAUCCCUUAUCAAUGCCUCUCUGUCAACUCACACUUUUACAGAUCAUUGAUCCAUACGAAUAUUUCACUACCAUUACUUAAGUUACUAUCCUCUAAGAAACGUCAAGGCAAAUCACAAAGGUUACAAUACCUGGAGAUGGUUGAUGGAUGCUACCAAGACAUAUAUUGUUAUAUACAAUAUGGAUCCCAAUUAAUGCUUCAUAAAAUCAUGGAACAUAGAUUUCUUCAAUGUUGUUGUUCUUGUUAUCAUACUCCAGUGUCUUGAGACGCAAAUCGCCUAUUUCCAUUUCCGUAUCAUAUCUAUCUCCCCUUGGUCCAAAGGCUCUGUCUAGCUCAGAUGCAAUGGAUCCAACCUCCACAUCAGAUAAGAUAGAGGUGAAAAACAGUGAGCCCACCAACAAACCAGACAACGAUGAAGCAGUAUAUGAUGAGAACAAUAAAUAUUAU